GGGAAGUGGCCUCUCUGGACCUGGUCUGAGGAUAUCAAUGCGUCAAUGUUAGGCCAGAAGAAGUUACGUGAUCAACAUGACAUCUGAUUUCAUGUUCCCUGGAUAGUUUGGCCCUGACAUUCAGCCAAGAAAAACAUCUGUGAUUCCAGAAUCAUGACACAGCCAGGACCUGCCACCCUGCAGCUCAGAGGCUUUCUUUUCUUGCAGACAAGGGUGAAGAAGU
rnacentral:lncRNA from 1 species